AGGCGGGCAGGCAGCACUGGCGAGGGAGCUGAGCAGAGCACUCAGGGGAAAGUGCUCCCUCGCCAGCGCUGCCUGCCCGCC